UACGUAGGGAGCAAGCGUUGUCCGGAAUCAUUGGGCGUAAAGCGCGCGUAGGUGGCCUCAUAAGUCCGCUGUGAAAGUCAAAGGCUCAACCUUUGAAAGCCGGUGGAUACUGUGAGGCUAGAGUACGGAAGAGGCGAGUGGAAUUCCUGGUGUAGCGGUGGAAUGCGCAGAUAUCAGGAGGAACACCUGUGGCGAAGGCGGCUUUCUGGGCCCUACCUGACGCUGAGACGCGAAAGCGUGGGGAGCGAACCGG
rnacentral:rRNA from 1 species